rnacentral:rRNA from 1 species
CCUACGGGAGGCAGCAGUGGGGAAUAUUGCGCAAUGGCCGAAAGGCUGACGCAGCGACGCCGCGUGGGGGAUGAAGCAUUUCGGUGUGUAAACCCCUGUUGCUCGGGACGAACAACUGGAUUUGUCCAGUCUGACGGUACCGGGUGAGGAAGCACCGGCUAACUCCGUGCCAGCAGCCGCGGUAAUACGGAGGGUGCGAGCGUUGUCCGGAAUCACUGGGCGUAAAGGGCGCGUAGGCGGUCUGCUAAGCGUGUGGUGAAAGCUCGGGGCUCAACCCCGAGUCUGCCAUGCGAACUGGUGGACUAGAGCACUGUAGAGGCAGGUGGAAUUCCGGGUGUAGCGGUGGAAUGCGUAGAGAUCCGGAAGAACACCGGUGGCGAAGGCGGCCUGCUGGGCAGUAGCUGACGCUGAGGCGCGACAGCGUGGGGAGCAAACAGGAUUAGAUACCCUGGUAGUCCACGCCGUAAAACGAGUGGGACGUAGGUGCGUGGGGUAGGCGGACCCCGUCCGAGUGGCCGGGCCGGCCGUAACCGACCGAUUAACGUACCCCGCCCCGUCGGGGACGGGUACCGGGCCGGCCGACGGCGAGAAACGUACGAAAGGAAAGUUAGUACGGCGUGAGACGUAGCCGACGGACGACGACGAGGGAGGAGG